rnacentral:rRNA from 1 species
AAAGGGUGCGUAGGCGGCCUGAUAAGUCCGGGGUGAAAGCCCGUUGCUCAACAACGGAACUGCCCUGGAUACUGUGAGGCUUGAGUACAGACGAGGUUGGCGGAAUGGACGGAGUAGCGGUGAAAUGCAUAGAUACCGUCCAGAACCCCGAUUGCGAAGGCAGCUGACUAGGCUGUUACUGACGCUGAGGCACGACAGCGUGGGGAGCGAACAGGAUUAGAUACCCUUGU